GAUGAACGCUGGCGGCGUGCCUAAUACAUGCAAGUCGAGCGAACAGACGAGGAGCUUGCUCCUCUGACGUUAGCGGCGGACGGGUGAGUAACACGUGGAUAACCUACCUAUAAGACUGGGAUAACUUCGGGAAGCCGGAGCUAAUACCGGAUAAUAUAUUGAACCGCAUGGUUCAAUAGUGAAAGACGGUUUUGCUGUCACUUAUAGAUGGAUCCGCGCCGCAUUAGCUAGUUGGUAAGGUAACGGCUUACCAAGGCGACGAUGCGUAGCCGACCUGAGAGGGUGAUCGGCCCCACGGGAACUGAAACACGGUCCAGGCUCCUACGGGAGGCAGCAGUAGGGAAUCUUCCGCAAUGGGCGAAAGCCUGACGGAGCAACGCCGCGUGAGUGAUGAAGGUCUUCGGAUCGUAAAACUCUGUUAUUAGGGAAGAACAAAUGUGUAAGUAACUAUGCACGUCUUGACGGUACCUAAUCAGAAAGCCACGGCUAACUACGUG
rnacentral:rRNA from 1 species